rnacentral:rRNA from 1 species
UGGGGAAUAUUGGACAAUGGGCGCAAGCCUGAUCCAGCCAUGCCGCGUGUGUGAAGAAGGUCUUCGGAUUGUAAAGUACUUUAAGAUGGGAGGAAGGGCAGUAAGCGAAUACCGUGCUGUUUUGACGUUACCGACAGAAUAAGCACCGGCUAACUCUGUGCCAGCAGCCGCGGUAAUACAGAGGGUGCAAGCGUUAAUCGGAAUUACUGGGCGUAAAGCGCGCGUAGGUGGUUCGUUAAGUUGAAUGUGAAAGCCCCGGGCUCAACCUGGGAACUGCAACCAAAACUGGCGAGCUGGAGUAGGGCAGAGGGUGGUGGAAUUGCCUGUGUAGCGGUGAAAUGCGUAGAUAUAGGAAGGAACACCAGUGGCGAAGGCGACCACCUGGGCUGAUACUGACACUGAGGUGCGAAAGCGUGGGGAGCAAACAGG